UACGAAGGGGGCUAGCGUUGCUCGGAAUCACUGGGCGUAAAGCGCACGUAGGCGGACUCUUAAGUCGGUGGUGAAAUCCUGGAGCUCAACUCCAGAACUGCCUCCGAUACUGGGAGCCUUCGAGCCCGGGAGAGGUGAGUGGAACUGCGAGUGUAGAGGUGAAAUUCGUAGAUAUUCGCAAGAACACCAGUGGCGAAGGCGGCUCACUGGCCCGGUACUGACGCUGAGGUGCGAAAGCGUGGGGAGCAAACAGG
rnacentral:rRNA from 1 species